CUACAUUAUAGAUUAAAUGGACCUAACAGACACUUACAGAACAUUUCUCCCAACAGCUACAGAAUACUCAUUCUUUUCGUCAGCACAUGGAACAUUCUCCAGGAUUCACCAUAUGUUAGAACACAAAACAAUUCUCAAAAAUCUUUUAAAAAU